rnacentral:rRNA from 1 species
AGAGUUUGAUCCUGGCUCAGGAUGAACGCUAGCGGCAGGCCUAAUACAUGCAAGUCGAGGGGCAGCGCAGUGUAGCAAUACAUGGGCGGCGACCGGCAAACGGGUGCGGAACACGUACGCAACCUUCCUUCAAGCGGGGAAUAGCCCAGAGAAAUUUGGAUUAAUACCCCAUAAGAAUGUAGAGAGGCAUCUCUCAGCAUUUAAAGAUUUAUCACUUGAAGAUGGGCGUGCGUCUGAUUAGGUAGUUGGUGAGGUAACGGCUCACCAAGCCGACGAUCAGUAACUGGCGUGAGAGCGCGACCAGUCACACGGGCACUGAGACACGGGCCCGACUCCUACGGGAGGCAGCAGUAAGGAAUAUUGGUCAAUGGACGGAAGUCUGAACCAGCCAUGCCGCGUGGAGGAUGAAGGUCCUCUGGAU